UAAAAGAGGGACGAAAGAUACCAAAGGGACAGUCAAACUCAUAAAUCUAAAACAAACUGACAACGCCAUGGCUAAAAAUAAAAAAGACAAACAGAAAAACAAUAGUACACACGACACAACAUAGAAAACUAAAGAAUAAACAACACGAACCCGACCAAAAACUAGGGGUGAUCUCAGGUGCUCCGGAAGGGUAAGCAGCUCCUGCUCCACAUGUGGCACCCGUCGUGUUGCUUAAGUGAUUACAAAUCCGGCAAAUAGUCUAAUUCGGUAGGUCAUAUUCAUGAAAGGGAAGGGGA
rnacentral:lncRNA from 1 species